rnacentral:rRNA from 1 species
GACGAGCGCUGGCGGCGUGCUUAACACAUGCAAGUCGAACGGUAAGGCCCUUCGGGGUACACGAGUGGCGAACGGGUGAGUAACACGUGGGUGAUCGGCCAUGCACUUCGGGAUAAGCCUGGGAAACUGGGUCUAAUACCGGAUAGGACCACUGCCUGCAUGGGUGGUGGUGGAAAGCGUUGGCGGUGUGGGAUGGGACCGCGGCCUAUCAGCUUGUUGGUGGGGUGAUGGCCUACCAAGGCGACGACGGGUAGCCGGCCUGAGAGGGGGACCGGCCACACUGGGACUGAGAUACGGCCCAGACUCCUACGGGAGGCAGCAGUGGGGAAUAUUGCACAAUGGGCGCAAGCCUGAUGCAGCGACGCCGCGUGAGGGAUGACGGCCUUCGGGUUGUAAACCUCUUUCAGCACCGACGAAGCGCAAGUGACGGUAGGUGCAGAAGAAGGACCGGCCAACUACGUGCCAGCCGCCGCGGUAACAC